AUGCCUUGGGCGCGUUUUCUCUUCAGCGUCUCCUUCGCCAUUUUCUCGAGGGAAGCGCGUCUGCUCUGCUGAAUUCCUGUUCUGAAAAGGAGGAGGAGGAGGAAACUUCGCGUGAUGAAGGGAGAAGAGAAGAUGUCGGAAAAGUCAUGAAGCGUGGCAGCGAAAGGAAAGAGAAGAAAAAGAGGCAAGGCAGCAGUGGAAAAAGAUGGGUUGCCUGCAUGGGCUCUGCUUUAUUCCUUAAUGCCGAAUGCUACAUCUGCCUAAGUCCACUUCCAUCCACUGGAAACGCUUCUUAGCAGCAAGGAGCAAAGGGAAUGGUGGGAAAUACCUAGCUAUCUCUCUAAAUCGGUAGGACCGUUAGUCCUUUCCAGAGGUGUAGCCUGCCUUCUCCAAAGGUGGAUUUCAGCUCAAACAGCUGGUUGAAAAGUCUCUUUUCCUCUCCUCACACCCAUAACCCUGGCAACCUCCCAGAGAACAGUCUAUUCCUCAAUGGUCAGGGAGAUUGCACUUUCCCACGGCCUCUCCAAAAAUAGAAACCCUAGCAUUUAGUUAUCUCUUAAUGCAGUUUUGGGGUGUGUGUUUGUGUGUGUCAGUCCUUAAAAUUCAAUUGUGCAAAGAUUUAAGCCUGUCCCCCGCCAUGCAUAUAGGCUGGGAGCCCCAAUGGCAGGAGACUAUGUGGGCUGAGCCCCUGCAAGAGGGGCCAAAACCCAAAGCCAGUUGAAUCAUUUACAUUGACAAACACUGGCACGUAUUUGUAUGCAUUUUGGAAAUUUGCAGCAGUUUGUAACGUUUAGAGAGGUGUUUUAAAGAAAAGCACUUAUACACUCAUGAGCAUUCCCUUAGAGCAGGCUCAUGGUUCUUUCCUUUUCUGGAGGCAGAAAUGUUCUUAGCAGAUGUACAAUCCCCCCGAAGGCUUCAGGCCUCCUCCUGACUGUUGAAAUGCUCCUGGGGAGACUGUAAGCAGCACCUCCUCCGCUCCCAGUCAGCAAAAGGGGAUGGCAAGGUGUGCUUCAUGGCGCAACUUGCAGCUGCAGCUUAAAUUGCCUUAAAAGUGCCCUUUCAUAGGGCAAGACUGACAGCACAACCAAUGUUGGUGGUUUUUCUCCUGCAUAUUCCUGCCUUGCCGAGGGCUGGGCUGCAUGACCCUUGGGGUCCCUUCCAGAUAUAGAUAUAUAUGCAGGAUUAUAUGAUUCUUUGGAAUGUGCUUUAGAAAGAGGAAACAAAUAGCAUUCCUUUAAGUUACGGGAUGCAGGUGGCGCUGUGGGUUAAACCACAGAGCCUAGGACUUGGCGAUCAGAAGGUUGGCGGUUUGAAUCCC